rnacentral:lncRNA from 1 species
UUACAGAAACUAUUAAAAAGCUGAUUCAAUUAAAUGAAUAAUUUCUUAUUUAAUUUGUUAUUUUUGUCAUAUACAGAUAUGCAAUGAUGAUUGCUGGGUAAUAUGUAUCUUGUUCGCCAAUUUCAAGUCUCUAUUUGGUCAUGGGGGGUGGGGGGUCUUUAACAUAUCCAGGCCGUGGUUUCUUAAUCCGUCCAUGGGCUAGGUGACAGUUGGAAAGCAUGGGAUAAGGCUACAUUGGGCUAGGUGCCAGUUGGAAAGCAUGGGAUAAGGCGACAUUGGGCUAGGUGACAGUUGGAAAGCAUGGGAUAAGGCUACAUUGGGCUAGGUGACAGUUGGAAAGCAUGGGAUAAGGCUACAUUGGGCUAGGUGACAGUUGGAAAGCAUGGGAUAAGGCUACAUUGGGCUAGGUGACAGUUGGAAAGCAUGGGAUAAGGCUACAUUGGGCUAGGUGACAGUUGGAAAGCAUGGGAUAAGGCUACAUUGGGCUAGGUGACAGUUGGAAAGCAUGGGAUAAGGCUACAUUGGGCUAGGUGACAGUUGGAAAGCAUGGGAUAAGGCAAUUGCCAGAGAGGAGGCAGAUGGUAAGCAGCCCUACUAGAUAUAAAAAACAUACACGCAACAACAAGUUUUUUUGAAAAACCACUUCUUCUUUCCAGGGGUAUGGCGCAAGUUCUAUAACACGAAACAGCAGCUAACUAACUGUCAGAUAAACACUCACAGAGUCUGUGAAUAGGACACAAUGGGGAUCCCUUUUCUCUCUUUACUUCUUUCCGUGGUUCCACAACUGUACUCUGUGCACUCUCAAGUUCUGCCAAAAGCCACCGUGUCAGUAAGUCCAUACU